UGAAUUUUAAGCAAAGGUCAUAAUCUAGAACGUCAAAUUUACCUAUGACUUUGACCUCAAUUUCAAGGUCACAAACUGAGGAUCUCAAAUCAAAAGACCCUAGGUCUCUAAUAUGUAUGGUUAAUAAGUUAUAUCACUUUAUGCAUAAUUUUAGAUAUGAUAGGGGCUAAAACUCCCAGUCAUUGUCUACGCACCCUUUCAACCAAAAUUAUUAUGUUACGACAUGUCGCAACUAACAAUUUAGUAAAAAUAAUUUGUCGAUAUCUUAUAAGGUUUAUGAAAAUAAGUGAAAAUAAGCCAAAAUCAAAAUUUAGAAUAUGACCUUGACCUUUGACCUUGACCUAAUUUUCAUUUUUUUGGACCAAGGAUCUCAAAUCAAAAGACCCUAGGUCUCUAUCACUUAUGGUUUUCCAGUUUAAAAUACAUUUCAAAAUUUCAAAUACAAAAGGGGAAAUAACUCUCAUAUGGAAUCUCGAUACGGCUUCGGUCAAAUAAAACAGAACAUCCUGAGGAUAUAACGAGCAAUUUGGAAAAAUAAAUUUGUCGGUUUCUUAUACGGUUGCGAAGCCUUAGAGAUAACAAGAAAAACAGUGUUCGGGGAGAUAACUCUUAUAUGGUAAAGUAUUCUGUUAAGCAGAGUUGGUUUCAAAAGCGUAUAAACUGUUCGAUAUCAUAUUCCAAAUUUCUAAGCGACAUCUUGCGAAACCAAAAAACAGCGAAGGAAAAAAAUUAGGCGGAAGAAAAAAAAAAAAAAAAUAAUAAUCAGAAGAAAAGCAAUAGGUCUUUCCACGGAAAAUUGGAAAGACCUAAUAAGAAAUCCAAUAGGUCUUUCCACGGAAAAGUGGAAAGACCUAAUAAUCAGAAGAAAUCCAAUAGGUCUUUCCACGGAAAAGUGGAAAGACCUAAUAAU
rnacentral:lncRNA from 1 species